rnacentral:lncRNA from 1 species
GGGCUGGGCUACAGCCCUGGUGGGCGCACCGAGGGUGAGUCCACGCUGGCCAGGCUCCUCACUCACACAGCUUCCGAGGGACGGGCCCCCGGCUGGGGGGGGGUGUUAGCAGUUCAAGCCUGAGAGCUGACUUCCAGGCACGUGAGAGACAUUUCUUGCAAAGUAUGUUGGCAUUCAUCUCAUCAUUCUGUCCCCGGGGAGGGUGCAAAUACUUGGAGAGAUGGUUCUCGCACACACGAGUGUUUGGAUUAUUGUUCAUCUUUUUGCUUUGCGAUAAUUACAGAUUCACAGGCAGUUAAGUAAGAAGUAAUAUGGAGAGAGCCCUGGUACCUUUAUCCCGGUUCCUCGAUGACAAUGUUUUGCAAAACCAGAGGACAAUAUCAUGACCACGGUGUUAACUUUUUUUUAAAAAUUUCUUUUGUUUAAUGUUUUUAUUACUCAGUGAAUUUAUUACAUUUAUAGUUGUACAACCAUCAUCACAAUCCAGUUUUACAGGAUUUUCAUCCCACACCCGCAGUGCGUCCCCCCCCCCCCAAACUGUCUCCUUUGGAAACCAUACGUUUUUCAAAGUCUGUGAGUCAGGAUCUGUUCUGCAAACAACUUCAGUCCGUCCUCUUUUCAGAUUCCACAUGUCAGUGAAAGCGUUUGAUGUUGGUGUCUCAUUGUUUGGCUGACUUCACUUAGCAUGAUAGUUUCUAGGUCCAUCCAUGCUGCUAAAAACGCCGGUGUUUCAUUCCUUUGAAUGGCUGAGUGAUUGAUAUUCCACUGUGCACAUGUACCACAUCUUCUGGAUCCACUCCUCUGUCGAUGGGCAUUGAGGUUGCUUCCAUGUCUUGGCUAUUGAACAGAGUGCUGCAGUCAACGCUGGAGUACAUGUGUCUUUGUGAGUCAUGGUUUUCUCUGGGUAGAUGCCCAGGGGUGGGAUUGCUGGGUCAAAUGGUUGUUCUCUUUUUAGUUUUCUGAGGAAGCUCCAUGCUGUUUUCCACAGUGGUUGCACCAAGGUACAUUCCCACCAGCAGUAUAAGAGGGUUCCCUUUUCUCCACACCCUCUCCCGCACUUACUGUUUGGAGACUUUUGGAUGAUGGCCAUUCUGGCUGGUGUAAGGUGGUACCUCAGCGUGGUUUUGAUGUGCAUUUCUCUAGUAAUGAGUGAUGUUGAACAUAUUUUCAUGUGAUUUUUGGCCAUCCGUAUGUCUUUGGAGAAUUGUCUGUUUAGAUCUUCUGCCCAUUUUUCGAUGGGGUUGUUUGUUUUUUUGGUGUUGAGCUGCAGAAGGUGUUCAUAAAUUUUGGAGAUGAAUCCCUUGUCAGUUGAUUCACUUGCAAAGAUUUUCUCCCCUUCUGUGGGUUGUCUUUUCGUUUUGUUUAGGGUUUCCUUUGCUGUGCAGAAAAUUUUAAAUUUGAUUAGGUUCCAUUUGUUGAGUUUUGUUUUUCCCGUCUUUAUUCUAAGAGGUGGGUCUGAGAAGAUGUUGCUGUGGUUUCUGUCCGAGAGUAACCACGGUGUUAACAUUGAUAAAGUCCACCACCGGGAGGUCCUUCGUGGGGUCCACGGCCACACCCUCUUCCCUCCCACCCACCCCCUUUAGCCCGGGCCCCCACUAAUCUGUUCUGCAUUUCGAUUAUUUUGUCCCAAACUGUGUAACCUUCUGGACCGGGCUGUCAUGCGCUCUGCAUGAUUCUUGAGAUUUGUUUAUCAAGUGCCGGUGGACACCACUACUUCGCUCCUCUUUACUGCCGUUUGGGUUUUAGAAGCUGCCAAACUGACUGGCGGGUCCCACCAGCAAGGCAGGACGGAUCCAGUUCCUGCACCGGACCGGCACUGUUCUCCUCAGCUCUGUGGCCGUUAUAUACACAUUGCUGUUGCUUAUCUGUAUUUUGUGUAUAAGCCUUUCUGAGAGAGGUGUGUCGCUGCCUGAAGACUGUGGUUUGAAUUUGCAUCUCUCUGCUGCUCAGCGAUGUUGCACAUCUUUUCUUGGGCCUUGCUGGCCCCUGCCAUCUCCUCUGCACUGAAAUGCCUUUCCGGGUCCCUUGCCCAGGUUUGGUCUUUUCCAGUUGGAUUUUGAGCAUACUUUCUAUAUUCCGGAUACUAGUCCUUUCUCAGAUAUGUGGUUUGCAAAUAUUUUCUCCUAACCCUGUAGCUUGUCUUUUUACGCUUUUAAUUGGGACUUUCAUAGAGCAAAAGCUUUGCUUUUGAUGAAGUCAAAAUUAAAUUUCCUUUUAUGACUUGUCCCUAAGAACCGUUUGCCUGGCCCUGGAACCCAGAGAUUUUCUCCUAUUAUUUUUAAAGUUUUAUAGCUUAAUGUUUCACAUUUAAAUCCUUCAUCCAUUGAGUUUAUUUAUCAGUGUCUCAUCUCAGUGGCAUCUCAGCUGUUCUUUCCUUAUUAGACGGAGGAAAGAACACAUUCUAGAUAGAGUGAAUCACGUCUCCCGGACACUUUAAAUACUCCCCCCCCCCCCAAAGGCAGACACACUUCCGAGUUCCAGGGGAUGACAGUCUGGGGCACAGUGGUGUCAGCUGCCUCUGGGGCGGUGCAAGGAGGGGGCCCUGGUGGCCUGCAUGUUCAGGAUUCUCGACUUAACCUCCGCUGGGUGCACAGAUGACAAAGUGAUUUAUGUGCUCAAACUAAGUGGUUUCCAUUUAAUGUUUGGUUCGGUUUGAAGAAAUUGCUUAGGUGUGUAGUUUGCACCUGAUAGGAGAGACGUCUUUGUCAACGCACAACCAUUCUCUUGAGUUCAGGGAAUUUUUCAUAAUUGUGUUCAUCAAUGUCAUUGGAGCAUAGCUGACUUAGAAAGUUGCGUUAGUUUCAGGUGUACAGCAAAGUGCAUCAGUUAUACGUAUAUUUGUUCCUUUGCAGAUGUUUCCCACGUAGGCUAUUACUCAGGAUUGAGAGGCUUACCCGGGGCUGUGGACUAGGUCCUUUUACCUCUCUUUUAUUUAUAUAGUGUGUAUAUGAGUCAAUCCCAACUCCCUAAUUCAUCCCUCCCGCCCCACGUAUCCCUUCUGGUAACUGUAAAUUUGGUUGCAACAUCUGAGUCUGCUUCUGUUUUAGAAGUUCCUUUGUAUCAUUUUUGUUAGGUGCCACAUAGCAGUGAUCUCACAAGCGUUUGUCUUCUCCUGUCUUACUCCGCUUGGUAUGACAGGUCAUCCAUAUUGCUGCAAAUGGCACUAUUUCAUUCCUUUCUAUGGCUUUUCUAUAGAAUAAUAAUCCAUUCUAUACACAUACCCCAUCGUCUUCAUCCAUUCCUGUCAAUGGACGUUUAGGUUGCUUCCAUACCUUGGCUACAUGCCCUUGAAUUCUUCAUUCAGAAAAAGAGCCAGUAUUUUUAUUCAGAGACUCUUGGAACAGCAGAGCUGGAAGCCAUCGUGGAAGAGGCCUACCUCGUAUUUCCCAAGUGUGCUCCACGGCCCGUGAAGGUACCUGUGAUGGAAGGGUUUUGUGGUGGGCGUCCCCCGAGGCUUCAGCAGAACUAUUCAGCGUUGUGCCUGCAGCAGCUGUGGUUUGAUCCUUGGCCCAGGAACUUCCAUAUGCUGUGGGUGCAGCCACAUGUUUAAAGGAGGGGAAGAGGGGGGUUCCUGUGGUGAAGUGGGGGGGACGGGCUGCAUAUGGUCUAUUCCCCUCCUUCCUCUUUGUAGAAUCAUGACUCUUACUAUGCCUUAAAGACUCUGAGGGAGUUCCUGCUGUGGCUAAGUGGGUUAAGGUCCAGUGUUGCUGCAGCUGUGGCAUAGGUCACAGUUCCGGCCCGGGGAACUUCCACAUGCUGUGAGUGUAGCAAAUAU